UUUCACAAACCAGAGCUGGGAGAAUAUGUCAUCGUUUGGGAUGGGAAAGUGGCGAGAAGCUAAACGGGCGUCUUAGAGAUGAAUGGUCAGUGACCAGCGGUCAGUGACCAGCGGUCAGGUGACCAGCGGUCAGGUGACCAGCCCAGGCUCACCCCGAUCCUGAUCCUUCUGCAGGUUUAAUAAAAUCCAGCCGAUUAAUUAAUGAGAGAAAAUAAACGUUAGAGGUUGAUGGUAAACCGUUGGGUCAUGAAGUUCAAACUACUUUACAUGACUCAGUUGUUAUAAACAUGCUGCAUGUCAAAUAUGACUGAAAACAUUCAACUUUAUAAUUCAGCAUCUUGAAACUGGGUCUGUGUCUUUAAGAAGCUCCUGCUCUUUCUGAGGCUCCGCCUCCAGGAAGUCAUCCCAACAUGGCUGCUCUAUUAACCCUUUAAUGUUUGUACCAGUGCUGCUCUGAGAACCUGAUGCAGCUCCAGCUUCUGGCAAGUCUGAAGGGGGAGGAGCUGCGCCUCGGAGGCGGGGCUAGGCCCAUCCAGGUGUUUUAAACAGCUGAAUGGUUGCCAUGGAGAUGAAAGGAUUUCUGAAACAUAAAUGAAUCAAAGCGACGCUGCAGGUUACAACAUUAUAACAUGAUAUAAAAAUAAAACAGUGGAUUUGACGCGACACCGGCCCUUUAAAUGUUCCCGGCUCAGCGUCCAGACAGUGAUGUCACAUAAACAAAGUCUGAGUCAUUCAUCAACACCUCUUCAGUUUAUUGUUUCACAGAAAUCGGUGCGGUGAUGAAAUCCUGUCAUUGUGAGUCCUCUCCGCGUUGAGUCAUCAAUAAAGCAGGUCAAAGGUCGCAGCGGCUGACUUGUGUUGAGCGCUGCGUCCUCCUGAACGGCCGCAAAGUGAAAUCCUGA